UCAUAGCGACUAUCGUGGCAUAUCAAUAAGCGGAGGAAAAGAAACUAACAAGGAUUCCCUUAGUAACGGCGAGUGAAGCGGGAAGAGCUCAAAUUUGAAAUCUUCAAGGUUCUACCUUGACGAAUUGUAGUUUAUAGAAGUGUUUUCUGUUAGUAGAGUGGCAAAAGUUCUUUGGAAUAGGACAUCAUAGAGGGUGAGAAUCCCGUAUUUGGUCAUUCUUCUAGCGUCUGUGAUACACUUUCAACGAGUCGGAUUGUUUGGGAAUGCAGUCCAAAAUGGGUGGUAAAUUUCAUCUAAAGCUAAAUAUUGGCGAGAGACCGAUAGCGAACAAGUACCGUGAGGGAAAGAUGAAAAGAACUUUGAAAAGAGAGUUAAACAGUACGUGAAAUUGUCAAAAGGGAAGCGUUUGACACCAGUGUUGUUUUUCCGAAAAUCAAUUACGAAUGUUUUGUUUUUGAGAGAGUUAUGACUUCAUCGGCUUGCUCCUUUCUUUACGAAACUUCCUUAAUGCACUUUUCGGUUAACAAGUCAACAUCAAUUUCUUUUGUUGUAAAAGGGUACUGAGGAAGGUGGCUUUCUUUUCGGAGAAAGUGUUUAUAGCCUUGGACCUCUGCAAUCGGAGAGAUUGAGGUCUGCAGCGUAGAUCCUUCGGGGUUAGAUACAGUUUGUGCUAAGUUAUAGCUUUUCAUAGACAACUUGUUGACUAUGUUAGUCUUGUAGCUUACUCGCUGAUGCCUAUUUUACCUACGCUUAGGAUGUUGAUAUGCAUGACUGAUAU
rnacentral:rRNA from 1 species